CUCAUUAAAUCAGUUGUAGUUUAUUUGAUGGUCUCUUUGUUCUUCUUUUUACCUACUUGGAUAACCGUGGUAAUUCUAGAGCUAAUACAUGCGCAAGGUCCCGAGCGCGGGAGAGUAGGACUUCACGGUUCUAUUCUUGUAUGCGUAGAGGGAUGUAUUUAUUAGGUUAAACAACCAGCAUCUUUUCAUUUCUGGUGAUUCAUAGUAACUCUUUCGGAUCGCAUUCAUG
rnacentral:rRNA from 1 species